CAAUAAGCGGAGGAAAAGAACUAACAAGGAUUCCCCUAGUAACUGCGAGUGAAGCGGGAAAAGCUCAAAUUUGAAAUCUGGCAGUCCUUGUGGCUGUCCGAGUUGUAAUUUAGAGAAGUGUUACCCGUGCUGGACCGUAUACAAGUCCUUUUGAAUGAGGCGUCAUAGAGGGUGACAAUCCCGUCUUUGAUACGGACUCCCAGUGCUUUGUGGUGCGCUCUCGAAGAGUCGAGUUGUUUGGGAAUGCAGCUCAAAAUGGGUGGUAAAUUCCAUCUAAAGCUAAAUACAGGCGAGAGACCGAUAGCGAACAAGUACCGUGAGGGAAAGAUGAAAAGAACUUUGGAAAGAGAGUUAAACAGUACGUGAAAUUGCUGAAAGGGAAACGCUUGAAGUCAGUCGCGUUGGCUUGGGAUCAGCCUUGGCUUGCCUUGGUGUAUUCUCUUGUCAAUGGGUCAGCAUCAGUUUUGACCAUUGGAUAAAGGUUUUGGGAAUGUGGCAUCUCCGGAUGUGUUAUAGCCCUUGACUGUAUACAGUGGUCGGGACUGAGGAAUUCAGUGCACCGCAAGGCCGGGUUUCGACCACGUAUUGCACUUAGGAUGCUGGCAUAAUGGCUUUAAUCGACCCGUCUGGAAACACGGACCA
rnacentral:rRNA from 1 species